rnacentral:rRNA from 1 species
ACGCUCGACACCUACGGGAGGCAGCAGUGGGGAAUAUUGCACAAUGGGGGAAACCCUGAUGCAGCGACGCCGCGUGGAGGAAGAAGGUCUUCGGAUUGUAAACUCCUGUUGUUGGGGAAAAAGAGGAUGGUACCCAAACAAGGAAGUGACGGCUAACUACGUGUCAGCAGCCGCGGUAAUCUGAGCGGGCUGGCAAGGC